ensembl:snRNA U1 U1 spliceosomal RNA
UUACUUACCUAGCAGGGAGAUACCACCAUGAUGAAGGUGGUUUUCCCAGGGCAAGGCUUAUCCGUUGCACUCUGGAUGUGCCUACCCCUGUGAUUUCCCCAAAUGUGGGAAACUCGACUGCAUAAUUUGUGGUAGUGGGGGACUGCAUUUGCGCUUUCCCCUG